rnacentral:misc_RNA from 1 species
GAAACGCGAUAGUUAAUGUGAAUUGCAGAAUUCAGUGAAUCAUCGAAUCUUUGAACGCACAUUGCGCCCGCCAGCACUCUGGCGGGCAUGCCUGUUCGAGCGUCAUUUCAACCCUCAGAACCCCUUGCGGGAUCUGGCGUUGGGGAUUGGCAUCCAGCCAGCCCCGAAAUCUAGUGGCGGUCCCUCCGCGACCUCCCCUGUGCAGUAGCGAUACCUCGCAGCGGGACAGCGGUCUGACCACGCCGUAAAACCCCCAACUUCUCAAGGUUGACCUCGAAUCAGGUAGGAAUACCCGCUGAACUUAAGC